AGUGAACGCUGGCGGUAGGCCUAACACAUGCAAGUCGAACGGCAGCACCGUAAGAGCUUGCUCUUACGGGUGGCGAGUGGCGGACGGGUGAGGAAUACAUCGGAAUCUACUUUUUCGUGGGGGAUAACGUAGGGAAACUUACGCUAAUACCGCAUACGACCUACGGGUGAAAGCAGGGGAUCUUCUGACCUUGCGCGAUUGAAUGAGCCGAUGUCGGAUUAGCUAGUUGGCGGGGUAAAGGCCCACCAAGGCGACGAUCCGUAGCUGGUCUGAGAGGAUGAUCAGCCACACUGGAACUGAGACACGGUCCAGACUCCUACGGGAGGCAGCAGUGGGGAAUAUUGGACAAUGGGCGCAAGCCUGAUCCAGCCAUACCGCGUGGGUGAAGAAGGCCUUCGGGUUGUAAAGCCCUUUUGUUGGGAAAGAAAAGCAGCAGGUUAAGACCCCGCUGUUCUGACGGUACCCAAAGAAUAAGCACCGGCUAACUUCGUG
rnacentral:rRNA from 1 species